GACGAACGCUGGCGGCGUGCUUAACACAUGCAAGUCGAACGGAAAGGCCCUGCUUUUGUGGGGUGCUCGAGUGGCGAACGGGUGAGUAACACGUGAGUAACCUGCCCUUGACUUUGGGAUAACUUCAGGAAACUGGGGCUAAUACCGGAUAGGAGCUCCUGCUGCAUGGUGGGGGUUGGAAAGUUUCGGCGGUUGGGGAUGGACUCGCGGCUUAUCAGCUUGUUGGUGGGGUAGUGGCUUACCAAGGCUUUGACGGGUAGCCGGCCUGAGAGGGUGACCGGCCACAUUGGGACUGGGAUACGGCCCAGACUCCUACGGGAGGCAGCAGUGGGGAAUAUUGCACAAUGGGCGGAAGCCUGAUGCAGCAACGCCGCGUGCGGGAAUACGGCCUUCGGGUUGUAAACCGCUUUCGCCUGUGACGAAGCGUGAGUGACGGUAAUGGGUAAAGAAGCACCGGCUAACUACGUG
rnacentral:rRNA from 1 species